CAGCCGCCACGGUAAGACAGAGGUCCCGAGCGUUGUUCGGAUUCAUUGGGCGUAAAGGGUGUGUAGGAGGUUGGGUAAGUCAGGUGUGAAAUCUCUCAGCUUAACUGAGAAACUGCGCUUGAUACUGCUCAGCUAGAGGAUCGGAGGGGGUAACGGAAUUUAUGGUGUAGCAGUGAAAUGCGUAGAGAUCUGGAGGAAUACCGGUGGCGAAGGCGGCCCCCUGGACAAAGACUGACGCUCAGGUGCGAAAGCGUGGGGAGCAAUCAGGAUUAGAUACCCCUGUAGUCCCUGUCUCUUAUAC
rnacentral:rRNA from 1 species